GUGCCAAUACAGAUUGGCCGUUAAAGGGUAAGUUUAAUUCUAGCUUAGAAAUUUAUUAUUAGUAAAGCAAACAUGUAUGUUCAUGCAUGAUUAGAAGGUCUUGCCUUUUGAAAAAGGGACUUUUUCAAAUUCUCAGUUUAUAGGCUUAAUUAUUGACAAGGGUCAUAAUUGGUUAUAUUAAUUAAGUUUAACUAAUUUUGUGCCAGCAGUUGCGGUUAUACAAUUUAAGUUAAGUAAAUUUAAGUUGGUUAUAUAUUGAAUAUUAAUUUGUGAUUAUAUAUAAGACAUUAUAAGGUGAAAUUUUAAUGUGUUAGUAUUUAUCAGGUUUAAUAUAUUAUAUAUGAAAUCUAUAAUAAGAACUAGGAUUAGAUACCCUAUUACUUUAGAUGUUAAGUAUUAACCUUAUUAUUUAUAGUUAAGAUCUUUAAAAUAAAAGAAUUUGGCGGUAGUUUAAUCUUUCCAGAGGAGCCUGUCCUUUAAUCGAUAAUCCACGUUAGAUUUUACUUAGCCUAAGGCUUGUAUACCUCUGUCAUUGAAUGUUUUAAUAGAUUAUUUUCUUCUUUCUUUUUAUAGUAAAAUGUUAGGUCAAGGUGCAGCUAUGGCUGAGUAGAGAUGGGCUACAAUAUGUUAUACAUUUGAAUAUAAUAAUUGAAAUAUAUAAUAUUGAAAUAGGAUUUGGUAGUAAUUUUUAAGUAAUUUCUAAAGGUGAUUUUGGCUCUAGACUAUGUACAUAUCGCCCGUCACUCUCAUUUAUAAAUGAGAUAAGUCGUAACAAAGUAGGCUUACUGGAAAGUGUGCCUGGUAAGAG
rnacentral:ncRNA from 1 species